UACAGAGGUCUCAAGCGUUGUUCGGAUUCCUUGGGCGUAAAGGGCGCGUAGGCGGCGGGGUAAGUCGGGUGUGAAAUCUCAGGGCUCAACCCUGAAACUGCACUCGAUACUGCUCUGCUUGAGGACUGGAGAGGAGACUGGAAUUCACGGUGUAGCAGUGAAAUGCGUAGAUAUCGUGAGGAAGACCAGUGGCGAAGGCGGGUCUCUGGACAGUUCCUGACGCUGAGGCGCGAAGGCCAGGGGAGCAAACGGG
rnacentral:rRNA from 1 species